rnacentral:lncRNA from 1 species
CUGGCAUGUAGAUUUUAACAAAGGCAGCCCUCUGUAGACCCAUAAUUUAGCAUUCAUUGAAUUCUCCUAUUGCUUUUUAAGCUUUGAUAUGCAUAUUUCAUUGCAUCAGAUGCUUUCUUUUUCAGAGAUGUAGCACCUUUUAAAACUGAUGUUAAAAUGUUAAUUUGCACUAGGUAAGUGGCCUGGAGGAUAGAGGUCAAAGGUUUUGCCUUUAUUAAGGCUUCAAUUAGUAACAGGUGAACUCAGGAACACCCCAGCUGGUUUCCCUGAGUGUAGUUGCUAGGGGUUGGAUUGCAAAACAAGGAGUGUCCUAUUCCAAGUUCAAGUUUGUUUUCUGCUUUCCACGAAGGGACUUGAAAGCUUUCUCCAAACAUCUCACCUGCUCAAGAGCAAUUUGCAUUAAUGACAAGGAGAGCACUAUCAAACUACAUCAAAUGUGGGAUUUGUGGAUGGUUCUGAGGAGCAACUCGGAAAGGAGUGGAUGAUUAACAGUUGUGCCCAUAGGAUGAAGAUACUGUGUACAAAGAAAAAUUCCGAAAGGAGAAGGAAUGUCCAGCUUACACUUCGGUCCGACCCUGAAAGGCACUCUGACACCUUCAUAUGCUCCAAGCCAUCUGAUGUCAUGUUUGGUCAAGAGAGGGGGGAAGGGGAAGUACUAAAGCAAUGAGUCUUUUUCACUUGCUGAACCCCAGGUUGACAUUUGGCUCUCAAGAAGGAAUUAGCAGUUAUAAGGAGCCAAAUAUAAAUUAAUAACUUGAACUCUUGAACAGUUCAGAUUCUCAGCAAAAUAUACACUCGUUUCUUCUUCUCCUUCUUCCUUUUUAUGAAGGGAGGAGGAUGGGUUGCAACAAUUCAUAAGAAAAUAUCAUUAAAACAUAUCAGCUGAUUAGAUUAUUUUUAGGGAUCAGGACACUAGCAUAGACCAAUACUUAGAAUUUGCUAUCAUAUUCUUCCAUCAGGGAUGAUGGUAAGAAAAGAUUCUAUGCACAAUUCUUUAAGCAAUAAUGAUACAGAGAUAGCUGAGUUAUGUUGCAUUGUUUUAUCUGUUUAAGAGCAAACCAAAUAGCUAUUUGCUGCCAGGAAGUGUUAUUAAAGUGUUAUUUAAGAAUAUGAGUCUUGCUCUUCUUUUUGCAAAAGGAAUGGCAUAAUUAGAUAGAGGGAGGUGAUUGCUGAAUUGUUCCCCAAAUAGAGAUGAUAAGAAAUUGAAUUUGAAGAAGGGAAUGCUUUUUAUUCUACUUGGAAUGGGAAUAAUACUCUGCCUCCAAGUCUGAAACUUUUCAACUUGGAUAAAACUUUCCCAUCAGGGGAUACUUUUCUGAGAGGUUAUCUUACACAGACAAGAAAGUAACCCCUUUAACCA